UGCGCCUUGCCAGCCCGCUCAGAAACUUAAAGGAAUUGACGGGGGCCCGCACAAGCGGUGGAGCAUGUGGUUUAAUUCGAUGAUACGCGAGGAACCUUACCUGGGCUCGAACGUAAGAUGACUGUAGGUGAAAGCUUACAUCUCUUCGGAGCAUUUUACGAGGUGCUGCAUGGUUGUCGUCAGCUCGUGCCGUGAGGUGUCGGGUUAAGUCCCAUAACGAGCGCAACCCCUACCUUUAGUUGCCAUCAGGUAAUGCUGGGGACUCUAAAGGAACUGCCUACGCAAGUAGUGAGGAAGGCGGGGAUGACGUCAAAUCAGCACGGCCCUUAUGUCCAGGGCGACACACGUGCUACAAUGGCCGGCACAACGGGAAGCGAGUUCGCGAGGACGAGCGGAUCCCUUAAAGCCGGUCGCAGUUCGGAUUGAAGUCUGCAACUCGACUUCAUGAAGCUGGAAUCGCUAGUAAUCGUGGAUCAGCCAAGCCGCGGUGAAUACGUUCCCGGGCCUU
rnacentral:rRNA from 1 species